AAUCGUUGAUCAGCCUCAUAAUCAGUCAAAAACUUCUUUUGAGUAUAACCGCAUAGGUUCGAACCUAAGUCAAUAGCACAAAAAUAACUUUUUGAAUCAAUCAAUGUAACCAUCUAGCAAUGGUGACUCGACGUCUGGAUAGGUCGAAUGAAGGCAAAGCAACAUUCAAGAACCUAUUGACGUAUGGUUACCGUAUAAUUCAUCCCUUUGACC
rnacentral:lncRNA from 1 species